rnacentral:ncRNA from 1 species
UGUUGCGAUAGUAAUCCUGCUUAGUACAAGAGGAACAGCAGGUCCAGACAUUUGGUUCAUGGACUUGGCCAACCGGUCAAUGGUCCGAAGCUACGAUCUGGGAAUUAUGACUGAACACCUCUAAGUCAGAAUCCCACCUAGUCAAGGUAGCG